GGAUUUGAGGGUGGUCUGUUUGGGGCGUGUGUCUCCCCAUUGGUUGCUAGGGUUGAUUUGGCUGACAGGAUCCACUGGAAGAGUUCCUCAUUCUGCCCCAACACUCUAUGGACAUUUUUCCUGAAACUGCAAGCUUGACAGAGGAAGACGGCCUUCCCUACAGAGGAGGACUGAUCUUCCAUCCAUGGUAAAUCAGCACUAGUGUACCCUGUUAAAGCCUCAAAACAACCUCUCAAGUGAGAUAGCUACCCUAUGAAUAGAAAGCUAAUGUCAUUUUUUUUGAUGAUUUACAAAGAAAUAACCAAUUGAA
ensembl:misc_RNA 7SK 7SK RNA